CUGCUAUCGGAUUGAUACUAAGCCAUGCGAGUCAUUGUAGUAAUACAAGGCAGACGGCUCAGUAACGCGUAGUCAACCUACCCUAAGGACGGGGAUAACCUCGGGAAACUGAGAAUAAUACCCGAUAGAACAUAGCUCCUGGAAUGGUUUAUGUUUCAAAUAAUUUAUUGCCCUAGGAUGGGACUGCGGCCUAUCAGUUUGUUGGUGAGGUAAUGGCCCACCAAGACUAUUACAGGUACGGGCUCUGAGAGGAGUGGCCCGGAGAUGGGUACUGAGACACGGACCCAGGCCCUAUGGGGCGCAGCAGGCGAGAAAACUUUGCAAUGUGCGAAAGCACGACAAGGUUAAUCCGAGUGGUUUCUGCUAAAGGAACCUUUUGUCAGUCCUAGAAACACUGAUGAAUAAGGGGUGGGCAAGUUCUGGUGUCAGCCGCCGCGGUAAAACCAGCACCUCAAGUGGUCAGGAUGAUUAUUGGGCCUAAAGCAUCCGUAGCCGGCUUUGUAAGUUUUCGGUUAAAUCCAUGCGCUCAACGUAUGGGCUGCCGGGAAUACUGCAAAGCUAGGGAGUGGGAGAGGUAGACGGUACUCGGUAGGAAGGGGUAAAAUCCUUUGAUCUAUUGAUGACCACCUGUGGCGAAGGCGGUCUACCAGAACACGUCCGACGGUGAGGGAUGAAAGCUGGGGGAGCAAACCGGAUUAGAUACCCGGGUAGUCCCAGCUGUAAACUAUGCAAACUCAGUGAUGCAUUGGCUUGAUGCCAAUGCAGUGCUGCAGGGAAGCCGUUAAGUUUGCCGCCUGGGAAGUACGUGCGCAAGUAUGAAACUUAAAGGAAUUGGCGGGGGAGCACCACAAGGGGUGAAGCCUGCGGUUCAAUU
rnacentral:rRNA from 1 species